AUGUUUUCACCAAAAAUGACACACAAGACAGACAAACGUUGAUUACCAGGACUAAUAGUUGAGUGAGAAUUGAUUGAAAUAGAAAAGUGAUAAGUGUAACAUCAUCUACAAGAUAGGUGCAUGGAAGUUGUCAAGCAAAAUGUGGCUUUCUAAUGUAAACACUAUACAAUAAGUGAUACACCUGUUCAAUUACAUUGACCAUUGGUAGCCUACAGAACUAGGAAGCAGUCUUUUCGAUUCAUUGUGUGGUAGCUACCAAGGAAUGCAUCAAUGUAGUAGAGGCGACAGGAGGCAGGAAUGCAGUAGAGGCCGCUAUCGAAGCCGGCGGAUUAUGAAGCUCACAUUUGCGGUGUUUUUGGAAUUUCGUCCGUCCGUCCGUGACACAACUGCAGUCACUCGCCACGGGAUUAUACCAAGAUCUGAGAGUUUCUGUCUACAUUUAUGAGAAGUUUCUGGAUGUCCUUUCAAGAAAAAGGACAAGGACUAUACGGUCAACAAGGUCCCUUGUUUACUAAAACCCGGCAAUCCUUCGCUACUGAUCAUGGACUCCAUUUGUGAAACUGAAAACUGACGAGAGAAUGCUGUAAUCCAAGACUGAUAAAUUGUGUAGUUAGAUUAAAUGACAAGUGCAUUUCUGGGCUCCCUUCUUUUCUGUAGCCACGUUUCCCUAACUAACCACUAACCAACGCCCGCCGGUGGUCACUC